UCUGGUUGAUCCUGCCAGUAGUCAUAUGCUUGUCUCAAAGAUUAAGCCAUGCAUGUCUAAGUAUAAAUAGUAUACAGUGAAACUGCGAAUGGCUCAUUAAAACAGUUAUAGUUUAUUUGAUAAAUGACAAUUACAUGGAUAACCGUGGUAAUUCUAGAGCUAAUACAUGCUUAAACGCCCGACUUUAUGGAAGGGUGAUAUUUAUUAGACUGAAGCCAAUAUUCCUUGUGUCUAUUGCGGUGAUUCAUAAUAACUGAUCGAAUCUCUUUUUGAGAUAAAUCAUUCAAGUUUCUGCCCUAUCAGCUUUCGAUGGUAGUGUAUUGGACUACCAUGGCAGUAACGGGUAACGAAGAAUUAGGGUUCGAUUUCGGAGAGGGAGCAUGAGAAACGGCUACCACAUCUAAGGAAGGCAGCAGGCGCGUAAAUUACCCAAUCCUGACUCAGGGAGGUAGUGACAAGAAAUAGCAAACCGGGAACCUCAUGGUUUCACGGUAUUGCAAUGAGAACAAUUUAAAACCCUUAGCGAGAAUCAAGUGGAGGACAAGUCUGGUGCCAGCACCCGCGGUAAUUCCAGCUCCACUAGCGUAUAUUAAAGUUGUUGCAGUUAAAAGCUCGUAGUUGAACCUCUGUCUGGGGCUAGUUUUGGCUUUGGUCAGGCUAGUUCUAGGCAUCCGCCUACAAGACUUAGAGGGCGUUCAGUUGUUCACUAGGAGGAGUAGGCAUUUUACUUUGAAAAAAUUAGAGUGUUUAAGGCAGGCAAUCGCCCGCAUAUAUUAGCAUGGAAUAAUAGAAUAGGACACUUUUCCAUUUCGUUGGUUAUUGGAAUCGUGUAAUGAUUAAUAGGGACAGUUGUGGGCAUUUGUAUUUAAUUGUCAGAGGUGAAAUUCUUGGAUUUAUUAAAGACAAACUAACGCGAAAGCAUUUGCCAAGGAUGUUUUCAUUAAUCAAGAACGAAAGUUAGGGGAUCAAAGACGAUCAGAUACCGUCCUAGUCUUAACUAUAAACUAUUCCGACUCAAUGUUUGACUGGCUUAUAUAACCAGUUGAGCGUUGUAUGAGAAAUCAAAGUCUUUAGGUUCUGGGGGGAGUAUGGUUGCAAAGCUGAAACUUAAAGGAAUUGACGGAAGAGCACAACCAGCAGUGGAUUCUGCGGCUUAAUUUGACUCAACACGGGGAAACUUACCAGGUUAAAACAAUAGUGGGAUUGACAGUUUGAGAGCGCUUUCUUGAUUGGUUGGGUGGUGGUGCAUGGCCGUUCUUAGUUGGUGGAGUGAUUUGUCUGCUUAAUUGCGUUAACGAACGAGACCUUAACCUGCUUACUAGACUGGCGAUCAUCAAUCGUUAGCUCUUCUUAGAGGGACUUUGGUUGUUUUAACUCCAAGGAAGUUU
rnacentral:rRNA from 1 species